UGGGGAAUAUUGGACAAUGGGCGGAAGCCUGAUCCAGCAAUGCCGCGUGGGUGAAGACGGCCUGCGGGUUGUAAAGCCCUUUAGGUGGGGAAGAAGGUCUUGCUACGAAUAGUGGUGAGGAUUGACAUUACCCACGGAAUAAGCACCGGCUAACUCCGUGCCAGCAGCCGCGGUAAUACGGAGGGUGCGAGCGUUAAUCGGAAUGACUGGGCGUAAAGCGUGCGUAGGCGGUAACGACAGUCAGCCGUGAAAGCCCUGGGCUUAACCUGGGAAUGGCGGUUGAUACGGCGUAACUUGAGUGGGCUAGAGGGCUGUGGAAUUCCGGGUGUAGCGGUGAAAUGCGUAGAGAUCCGGAGGAACACCGAUGGCGAAGGCAGCGGUCUGGGGCCACACUGACGCUGAGGCACGAAAGCGUGGGGAGCAAACAGG
rnacentral:rRNA from 1 species